GAUGAACGCUGUCUACAGGCUUAACACAUGCAAGUCGAGGGGAAACGACGGGGAAGCUUGCUUCCCCGGGCGUCGACCGGCGCACGGGUGAGUAACGCGUAUCCAACCUGCCUCUGACUGAGGGAUAACCCGUCGAAAGUCGGCCUAAUACCUCAUGGCAUCGUCUGCGGGCAUCCAACGACGAUUAAAGAUUUCAUCGGUCAGGGAUGGGGAUGCGUCUGAUUAGCUUGUUGGCGGGGUAACGGCCCACCAAGGCUACGAUCAGUAGGGGUUCUGAGAGGAAGGUCCCCCACAUUGGAACUGAGACACGGUCCAAACUCCUACGGGAGGCAGCAGUGAGGAAUAGUGGUCAAUGGGCGGGAGCCUGAACCAGCCAAGUAGCGUGCAGGAUGACGGCCCUAUGGGUUGUAAACUGCUUUUAGGCGGGGAUAAAGUGAGGGACGUGUCCUUCAUUGCAGGUACCGCAUGAAUAAGGACCGGCUAAUUCCGUG
rnacentral:rRNA from 1 species